rnacentral:tRNA from 1 species
GGGGAUAUGGCGGAAUUGGUAGACGCUACAGACUUGAUAGAGUCCAUAUUCUUUUUUUUGAAUGAAUAUGAAAAUUUGUUGGUUCUUUGAACCGUGAGGGUUCAAGUCCCUCUAUCCCCA